UCUUUUAAAAGACAUGUUCUCUUGAAUUGUAGUGGGGAGAAGCGGAAUGUUGAAGAGUUUGUCUGGAAAACUAUUUACAACAAGAUUUUAAACAGAGAAGGAAGACGACGAGCAAGAGCGCUGAUUCGUCAGAUUGAAAACAGGCUAAAUGAGAACCAUCAUCUGUGUCAAUAAAAACUCCGGCUCAUUUGAAGUAACGGACUGACUUUCAAGCAGAGCUAGAGACAAUUUUACACUGUGCAGUAUGCUAAGUGUAGUGUUGUUAAUCGUUUUGCUUCGUUUUUAAAACUUUAAAUAAAACUUACAAGAUUU